rnacentral:rRNA from 1 species
CCUACGGGAGGCAGCAGUGAGGAAUAUUGGUCAAUGGACGCACGUCUGAACCAGCCAUGCCGCGUGCAGGAAGACGGCUCUAUGAGUUGUAAACUGCUUUUGUACGAGGGUAAAUCCCGAUACGUGUAUCGGGUUGAAAGUAUCUUACGCAUAAGGAUCGGCUAACUCCGUGCCAGCAGCCGCGGUACUACGGAGGGUUCAAGCGUUAUCUGGCUGUAUUGUGUUUAAAGGGUGGGUAGGCGGUUCGAUAAGUUAGAGGUGAAAUCCCGGGGCUCAACUCCGGCACUGCCUCUGAUACUGUCUGGCUAGAGUGUAGUUGCGGUAGGCGGAAUGUAAGGUGUAGCGGUGAAAUGCAUAGAGAUCAUACAGAACACCGAUUGCGAAGGCAGCUUACCAAACUACGACUGACGUUGAGGCACGAAAGCGUGGGGAGCAAACAGGAUUAGAUACCCCUGUAGUC